rnacentral:rRNA from 1 species
GAUGAACGCUGGCGGCGUGCCUAAUACAUGCAAGUCGAGCGAACGGACGAGAAGCUUGCUUCUCUGAUGUUAGCGGCGGACGGGUGAGUAACACGUGGAUAACCUACCUAUAAGACUGGGAUAACUUCGGGAAACCGGAGCUACUACCGGAUAAUAUUUUGAACCGCAUGGUUCAAAAGUGAAAGACGGUCUUGCUGUCACUUAUAGAUGGAUCCGCGCUGCAUUAGCUAGUUGGUAAGGUAACGGCUUACCAAGGCAACGAUGCAUAGCCGACCUGAGAGGGUGAUCGGCCACACUGGAACUGAGACACGGUCCAGACUCCUACGGGAGGCAGCAGUAGGGAAUCUUCCGCAAUGGGCGAAAGCCUGACGGAGCAACGCCGCGUGAGUGAUGAAGGUCUUCGGAUCGUAAAACUCUGUUAUUAGGGAAGAACAUAUGUGUAAGUAACUGUGCACAUCUUGACGGUACCUAAUCAGAAAGCCACGGCUAGCUACGUG